rnacentral:rRNA from 1 species
UACGUAGGGUGCGAGCGUUAAUCGGAAUUACUGGGCGUAAAGGGUGCGCAGGCGGCGUCGCAAGUCAGGCGUGAAAUCCCCGGGCUUAACCUGGGAACUGCACUUGAAACUACGAUGCUGGAGUAUGGCAGAGGGAGGUGGAAUUCCACGUGUAGCGGUGAAAUGCGUAGAGAUCCGGCGGAACACCGGUGGUGGAGGCGGCACCCUGGGCCGAGGCCGACGCUGAGGCGCGAGAGCGUGGGGAGCGAACCGG